rnacentral:rRNA from 1 species
UACGGGGGGAGCAAGCGUUGUUCGGAUUUACUGGGCGUAAAGGGCUCGUAGGCGGCCAACUAAGUCAGACGUGAAAUCCCUCGGCUUAACCGGGGAACUGCGUCUGAUACUGGAUGGCUGGAGGUUGGGAGAGGGAUGCGGAAUUCCAGGUGUAGCGGUGAAAUGCGUAGAUAUCUGGAGGAACACCGGUGGCGAAGGCGGCGUUCUGGACUGCAACUGACACUGAGGAACGAAAGCCAGGGGAGCAAACGGG